rnacentral:rRNA from 1 species
GACGAACGCUGGCGGCGUGCUUAACACAUGCAAGUCGAACGGAAAGGCCCUGCUUGCCGGGUACUCGAGUGGCGAACGGGUGAGUAACACGUGGGUGAUCUGCCCUGCACUUCGGGAUAAGCCUGGGAAACUGGGUCUAAUACCGGAUAGGAGCCAUUUUUAGUGUGAUGGUUGGAAAGUUUUUUCGGUGUAGGAUGAGCUCGCGGCCUAUCAGCUUGUUGGUGGGGUAAUGGCCUACCAAGGCGGCGACGGGUAGCCGGCCUGAGAGGGUGGACGGCCACAUUGGGACUGAGAUACGGCCCAGACUCCUACGGGAGGCAGCAGUGGGGAAUAUUGCACAAUGGGCGCAAGCCUGAUGCAGCGACGCCGCGUGGGGGAUGACGGCCUUCGGGUAGUAAACUCCUUUCGCUAGGGACGAAGCUUUUUGUGACGGUACCUAGAUAAGAAGCACCGGCUAACUACGUG